rnacentral:rRNA from 1 species
ACUCCUACGGGAGGCAGCAGUAGGGAAUCUUCCACAAUGGGCGCAAGCCUGAUGGAGCAACACCGCGUGAGUGAAGAAGGGUUUCGGCUCGUAAAGCUCUGUUGUUAAAGAAGAACACGUAUGAGAGUAACUGUUCAUACGUUGACGGUAUUUAACCAGAAAGUCACGGCUAACUACGUGCCAGCAGCCGCGGUAAUACGUAGGUGGCAAGCGUUAUCCGGAUUUAUUGGGCGUAAAGAGGGUGCAGGCGGUUUUCUAAGUCUGAUGUGAAAGUCUUCGGCUUAACCGGAGAAGUGCAUCGGAAACUGGAUAACUUGAGUGCAGAAGAGGGUAGUGGAACUCCAUGUGUAGCGGUGGAAUGCGUAGAUAUAUGGAAGAACACCAGUGGCGAAGGCGGCUACCUGGUCUGCAACUGACGCUGAGACUCGAAAGCAUGGGUAGCGAACAGGAUUAGAUACCCUGGUAGGAUAGCG